CAUUGUGGUGGUAGUCAGUCAUUAGUCGCACUGGUAGUCUUGGUCAUGGUGUGGUAGUAUUAUUUGUUCCCUGCAGAAAGAACCAAAUCCCCUUUUCGAACAGCUGCAAAUCAUGUCUUACUGGGUUUGCAGGAGACAUGCCUGACUUGCUGGGAAUCUGGAAGAUCAAGAUAUAUCAAGAAACUCUGCAUUCUGGACAGCCAGCUAAGAGGACAAAAGGUAAGCGGCACCAGCAAUCAAUAUCUUAAUCCAACUAUGGACCAAGGACAGCUGUGGGGGUCUGUGUUCAACAACCCGCGGCGGUGCUAGGACGAAAGGUUUGUGAUCUCUUUGGUUCAUCAGGAAGGAAGAAGCAAUCAAUACAUGACCAUUCACACACCAACACCCUGGUGAACACAGAACAGAUGUUUGCCGAAAUAGACACAACAUGGCGCAAUGAAG